rnacentral:rRNA from 1 species
AUUGAACGCUGGCGGCAGGCUUAACACAUGCAAGUCGAGCGGAGAGAGGUAGCUUGCUACUGAUCUUAGCGGCGGACGGGUGAGUAAUGCUUAGGAAUCUGCCUAUUAGUGGGGGACAACAUUUCGAAAGGAAUGCUAAUACCGCAUACGUCCUACGGGAGAAAGCAGGGGAUCUUCGGACCUUGCGCUAAUAGAUGAGCCUAAGUCGGAUUAGCUAGUUGGUGGGGUAAAGGCCUACCAAGGCGACGAUCUGUAGCGGGUCUGAGAGGAUGGUCCGCCACACUGGGACUGAGACACGGCCCAGACUCCUACGGGAGGCAGCAGUGGGGAAUAUUGGACAAUGGGCGCAAGCCUGAUCCAGCCAUGCCGCGUGUGUGAAGAAGGCCUUAUGGUCGUAAAGCACUUUAAGCGAGGAGGAGGCUACUUUAGUUAAUACCUAGAGAUAGUGGACGUUACUCGCAGAAUAAGCACCGGCUAACUCUGUGCCAGCCGCCGCGGUAAGAC